AUACUGCUACUACAAGUAUUAUUAAUAUUAAAAAGAUUUAAUCAAAAAAGAAAACAUGAAGGUGGUAAGUUUUUGUCUAGGGGUGAAGAACCUUUGAAAACAUCACCCCUUUCAAAUUUCCAAAAUAAUCAAGUUGUGAUUUCAAUUUUUGUCAGCAACCCCACUUUUUUGGGGAAGUUCACUGCAUCCAAGUAUCCAACCUUCCCUUUUUCUUAAACAAACCCACCAUUUUUACUCUUUCAUUUAUAUUUCUAUAAUUAUAUACUUUGUAUAUAUAUACAACUCUUUUAUGCUUUCAUUUUUCUCUUAUUCUUUUCAUUCUUUCUUCAAAUUUCUCAAAUACCCACUUCAUUAAUUCAUCAAAGAUUCAAACUUUAACCCCUUUUGUUUCUGGGGUUGAUUAAAUUGGUUCUUUUCUUCUUUGUUUGGGAUUUUGAUUUGGAUUUUUAUUGAAUUUAUCAAAUUUAAUUUUGGGAGGAAAAAAAAAGGGUUUCUGGGUUGUGAUGCUAUAGUUGCCUUGUUCAAUCUCAGGAAAUUCUGUUUCUACUUAAUCACAGAGGUACAUUUGCAAAAUCAUCAAUAUUUGAGUUCUUGGUUCAACAUUGAUAUCUUCUCAAAUUGAAGAGAAUCAGUCAGAUAUUCUAUUGAGUUCUUGAUCAAAAAUCUGGUUCACAUUUGCAAUUGAAAGUUCAGAACUAAAAUUUGGGAAUUUGAUCUGUUUGGUGUGUUCUCAGCAUUACAAAUUGGUUCUUGAUCAAAUCUGGCAUAUAUUGUGAGAAAUAAUUCAGGGUUUAGAUUAAAUGAUUAGAGAACUUGGAGAAACAGAUUGGAAAUUGCCAAAAAAAAUUGUUUGCAUUGCGAAAUCAUUGUACCGAAUCAGUAGUAAUGGAAGCUAGAGUUAGAAAAAAUGUAACUUCUACAAUGAGGGAAACAAGUAACGCAAACAUGAGGAACACAUAUAGUACUCCUAUGAAUGCAGGAAUGAUGGGGAGGGAUAGAGAUUAUCAUCGGUCGUUUUCGCAAGGGACCGGGAAGAAGGCAUUGCGAGGGGGCUAUUUCGGGUUAGAAUCAAUGUUUCUACUCGUCUGCCUCACCGCCUCGUUGUUGAUUCUUCCGUUGAUACUACCACCAUUGCCUCCACCGCCGUUCUUGCUACUACUAGUACCUAUUGGCAUUCUUGGACUGCUUAUUAUGAUCUUAGCAUUUAUGCCUUCUAAUAUUAAAAACUUGACUUAUAUGUAAAUUUAGAGUUGUGUUUAGCUUGAUCCUUGUUAGUCCUUGUCUCUAUAGUUUAACUUUGUAUCUCUUUUUCGCCUUGCUAAUCGUUGGAGGGAGGAGAGAUAGGUUGCAAAUUCAAUUUUCACUUGAGAAUUUGGUGUAAAGAUACAUGUAAGAAGAAUUUAUCAUAUAAAGGCCUUUCAUAUCAACCAUUUUAUAUGGUGAAUUACUGAAUGUGCUUAAUAUUAGUUGCAUUAUGA